ACUAGGGUUUUCAUUUCUGUCGAAAUAUUCUCACUCCCACACGCCUCCAACAGCUGCGAUCUGCGGCGGCGGCGGCGGCGGCGGCCACGAUUCUAGCGGUGGUGAUCUCCGUCGGCAUUGACCACAGUGGUUCUCCAGCCUGUUGAAGCCCUCUACAGUUUAUAACAUGAGACCUAUUAGUUUUAUGGGGUAUGCCAAUGUUGUGAAAAGUGUGCCUAGGCGUAAGGGCAGCACCUUAAUCCACCCAAGGCAAGGCACAUUCAACAAGUUGUGCACCUUGGCCACGGCUUGGGCAGGCAAUGAAAGGUUCAUAUGAGGGGCAACUGCAUAGGAUUACAACUCUGAGGUAUACAACUCAAUAUUCCAUCCGGCCCCAAAUCUAUCUACAACUGAAAAAAUCCCUUAUCUUCAAUGAAGAAAUCUUGCAGCAAGACUCUUCCCUUCAUCGACCAGACUCUGCAUAGGUUUGGAUGCGUAAUAUUAGGAGGCUUAGCAGCCGAGCACCUGGUGUUUGGAUACUCUGAAGGACUUCAUACUGAUGUGGAAAAGUUGAAUAGAGUACUUAAAUGGUUGGGUUUUCACAUAGAGUGAAGCUGAUUCUCAAGUAAAACGGGUUGCUGUAAAUACUCUCUUAAUAUGAGUUCGUCACCAAGAAGCUCAAUCCAGAGAACGCAUUACGUUAUGAUUCUACCAAAACUAUUUUCAAUGUUUUGUCUAGAAUUUUGUUAACAAUAUCAAAGAAAAAUCUUUCAAAAAACCUUCGAGUCAGAGUUGAAAACUUACACCAGAUUGUGUAAAUUUUAUGAAGCCUAAAAAGAUUACUAAUGCAAUUCAAUUUCCUUCCAACGUAUUUUGAGACUAGGAACUACAUACAUCCAUUUAAAUUCAUUAAAAAAAAAAAAAUCCAACUUAAAUCAACUAAGUUGAAAAAGAGCAUUCGAGGGGCGAAAAUAGAGUUUCUGAUCUCCAAUAUCAAAGUGUUUACUUGGAUGCCGUAUGAUAUGCCAAGCAUUGAUCCGAACUUCAUUCGCCACCAACUAAAUGUUAACCCUCCACUGCUAGACCAGUUAUAUAGCGAACUCGGAGAUCGACACUGUAUCAUGCCGAGAUAGUAACUGAAGAAAUGAGAAACCUACUAGAAGCAGGGGCAAUCAGGGAGGUCCAUUAUUGUAGGUGAAUCUCCAAUAUAGUGGUGGUACCCAAAAAGAAUGGCAAGUGGUGCGUUUGCAUUGACUACAAAACGGUCAACAAGGUGUGCCCAAAAGACAGCUUCCCUCUAUCAAGGAUUGAUCAGCUGGUGGACCUAACUACAGGUCAUAAUCGACUUAGCUUUCUUGAUGCUUAUCAUGCAUAUCAUCAGAUCGCUAUGUAUGAAUCGGAUCAGGAGAUCACAUCCUUCACAACUCCAAAGGGGCUGUACUGUUACAAGGUCAUGCCCUUUGGCCUAAAAAAUGUAGGGGUAACAUUUCAGUGAAUGGUCACUAAGAUAUUCGUGCCAUUGUUAGGUAGAACAAUAGAGGCUUACAUUGAGGACAUAGUGGUCAAAAGUAAGAAUAAGUCAGACCAUCUCAGAGACCUAGUUGAGAUGUUUCAAAUUUUGAAGACACACAAGCUACGGCUAAACACUUCCAAGUGCAAGUUUGGAGUGAGAUCAGGCAAAUUUUUGGCAUCUUAAUAACCAAUCGUGGUAUAGAAGCAGAUCCUUUCCAAAUCAAGGCCAUUCAAGACCUCAAAAGGCCCAACACAAUUAAAGAGCUAUAGUACUUGACAGGUUUAGCUGCUGCGCUGAACUGGUUCAUAAGCCGGCUGUCAGACAGAUGUUGACCAUUCUUCCAGACACUUAAGGCAAAAUUUGAAUGGGAUGAAGAAUGUGACCGAACUCUAGAAAGCUUAAAGGAGUACUUGUCCUCUCCGCCACUAUUAGUGACCCUAGUGCCUGGAGAAGAACUUUACUUAUACUUAGCGGUUUCUUAGCAUGCAGCCAUCGUGGUGUUAGUAUGCGCAGAAGGAAUAUAACACUUGCCCAUAUUUUAUGUGAGCAAGACAAUGCUGGGCGCCUGAAUGCGAUACUUGCCCUUAGAUAAGUUUGCCUUAGCUCUAAUAAUGGCUUCAAGGAAGUUGCCACACUACUUCUAUGCACACACUGUGUCCGUACUGACUGCAUUCCCUCUAAAAGCCUUAUUUCAGAGAGCAGACUUCUUUGGAAGGAUAUUAAAGUGGGCGAAAGGGUUGGGAUAAUUCGAUAUCAAGUUCCAACCAAGAACAGCGAUAAAGGCCCAAGCAUUAGUAGACUUUGUGGUAGAGUUUUCUCUAAGAAGUCAUUAUGUUUGCCCAGUUGACUUGAAUGAGGAAACCGAACAAAGCGGGGGGAGUGCCAGGGGAAUAGCGUAGCCUUCUACUACCCAACAGCAAGCGGGGGAAACUGAGCAAUGCGCUAUUGAGCCUAGCAGUGGUUGCACCGCCCACUAUCAUUGCUAGAAGGGGAUGAAUCAAGCCAUGCAACUAUAGGCUUGGUUUGCGAUGACGUGCCUGAAAGGGAAAUGGUAGGGCAACCAAGUAAAGAAAUUAAUGAUCAAACGACAGACAAAGACUUGGAAGAAAUAGCUGAAGUGCCAGACACCAAAACAUCUUCAUACCCAUCCACUUACUGGAAGUUAUUUAUAGGAGAGAUGUGAAAGCUUUUCAUGGAUGGAGCUUCCAAUAGACAUGGAACUGGACUUGGGAUAAUCCACAUAUCGCUAGAUAACCUAACCGUUGAACAGGCGAUCAGACUUGGGUUUUUAGCGUCCAAUAAUAAAUCAGAGUACAAAGCACUUUUAGCCGGUCUAAAAUUUGCCUUCGGAAUGAAGGCUAUCGGGCUAAUGGUGUAUAGCGACUCCUAAUUGGUGGUUAACCAUAUAUCUACAAGUAUGAAGCGAAGGACAACAGAAUGACUAAGUAUCAGGAGUUGGUCAGAACAAAGAUUAAAAAAUUUGAAGUCGUUAGGAUAAAUCUAUCGAGAUGAGAAUAGCAAGGCGGAUGAAUUAGCCGGUUCUGUGUCGAUGGUAGACACUUCUAUCCCAGACCCUUUGCUAAUCGACUUCUUGCCAAGGCCAAGUAUUGAGAAACUUGAAGCGGUAGAAGUAUUGUGUGCUGAGCUAGGUCCCUCUUGAAUGGACCUCAUUAUUACAUUCUUGAAGGAUAGGAUUUUGCCAGAGGACAAAAAGGAGGCGAACAAAAUGCGAGCGAAGUCAACGAUUUUGGCUUUCCCCGUCGCUAGCGUUGUACAAGAAGUCCUUUAUUAGACCAUACUUAAAAUGUGUCCACCCCAACAAGGUUGAUGUCUUCGUAUUUGAAAUACAUGAGGGAAUUUGUGAAAGUCACCAAAGAGGGAGAUCUUUGGCCCACAGAGCUAUCUCGCAAGGAUAUAUUAGUGGCCAUGUAUACAGGUAGAUGUAGAGAAGUAUGUUAGGAAAUGCAAAAAAUGCCAAAUGUUUGCGCAUCAAAUCCAUCAACUAGCUAGAGAGCUCUUACCAUGACCAACUCUUGGCCUUUUGCAAUGUGGGGUUUAGACAUAGUUGGACCACUCUCAACCACACCGGGUAACAGGAAGUUCUUCAUUGCGGAGACAGACUACUUUACAAAAUGGGUGAAGGCAGAGGCACUAGCCUCCAUCAAAGAAAAAGACAUUAAAAAGUUUGUUUGGCAGAACAUCGUAACCUGGUUUGGAAUUCCUAAGGCUUUGAUAUUUGACAACGGCACUCAAUUCGAUAGAAGAAUCUUCAUGGGCUUUUGUGAAGAGCACAAGAUAGAGUUCUACAACUCUACGUCGGCAUACCCUCAAGCCAACGGUUAGGCCGAAGCAUCGAACAAGGUGAUCCUGGAUGGCUUGAAUAAGAGAUUGGAAAAGGCAAAAGGAAAGUGGAUAGAAGAACUCCUCCAUGUCAUAUGGGCCUACCGAAUUACACGAAGGCGGUCAAUCAGGAAAACACGAUUCUCCUUGGCUUACGAUAUGGAAGUAGUCAUCCCCUUGGAAGUCGGCCUUCCCACUAUUAGGAUCGAGAAUUAUAGCCCAGACUUGAAUGGAAAGGCAAUAACCUUGUAGCUAGAUCUUGCCGAAGAAUGGAGAGAGAAGACGCUGAUCCACAUCGUCUCAUAUUUGCAAGAGUUGUCUAGGAAGUAUAACAAGACAGUGCAUCCAAGGCUAUUCAAAAUUGGAGAUUGGGUGCUGCACAAAGUCAUGAGAAUAGUUUGGUGCCUGAUGAUGGCAAAUUAGGACCCAACUAGGAGGGACCAUACAAGGUGGUGAGGUUAGUAGAAAAGGGAGCUUACCACUUGGAAGAUGUUGAUGGCCAAGCUAUUCCAAGACCAUAGAAUACAACCAAUCUCAAGUUAUUUUAUUUUUAGCUGCAGCACUUGUAAUUUUUCUAUCUUUUUGCUUGAUAUUAAUAAAAUAAGUAGACAACUUUUUUUGAAGUUUUUCGAUACUUGUUUUUAUUCGGUCUAGAUCUCGAAAAUCUUUGCACAGCUAGUGAACUUGGCAAAGUAGAUUGGCAGGUUUGACUAACGCAUUUGGAAGUCUUUGACUGAGAUGGUUAUCUCAGCCAAAGUAGGUUAGCAGAUUUGACCAACACAUUUGGAAGUCUUUGACUGAGAUGGUUAUCUCGACCAAAGAAGGUUGACAGGUUUGACCAACACUUUUAGAAAUCUUUGAUCAAGAUGGUUAUCUCAGCUAAAGAAGGUUGUCAGAUUCGACCAAAGCUUUUGGAAAUCUUUGACCUAGAUGGUUGUGUCGACCAAAGUAGGUUAGUAGGUUUGACUAGCUUUUUUGGAGACUUAGACUGAGUUUGUAGCUCGGCAAAACCAUGUAUACAAACUUGAAUGAAAUAUCAAAAAACACUUGGCGUGUGAAAAGUUUUUUCAUUGAUGUCCAAAGCGAUUACAAGAGGGGGGGCUAGUAGCCCGGUUACAUUGCAAAACAAAAUGAAAAAAAAAAAAAUACAAACAAGAACAAAAGCAAAAGCAAAAGGAAGUUGUAUCACGGUCACAGAAAGAGGCCAUCUAGUUUGGCUUCGGCACCAACGCCGACUUCACUUUCAGCCAGCAUGGUUCCAGCACCAUCUUUAAUGGUUAGAUUGGUGAUGCCUUCUUUGAUGGUAAUGCUUAACUGGGUCUGGUCGGGCACCUCUGGCCGAGCUGGCAGAGUCGGUUGGUGAAUGGGAUCAGCAGUUGCCAAUGAAAGAGCAGUGUUCGGUGCCGGGCUAUCUUCCUCUUCCACUUUAAGGAACUUCUGUUGCACGGCGUUGGCAUAAACUACCAUGUAACUUGGGAUAAAGUGGAGAGGAGGAUUGAGGAAGACCUUAGAGUCAGAAGCCUGGCUGAGCUUCUCUGCAGCCGCUUUCCAGCUACACUUGAAGAAGAUAUCCUUGGCGGCCUUGCAUUGUUAGACGUAGGCUUGCUCGCCUUUGGCGUAGCCCCGGUCCUUGGCGUCCUCCAUCUUCUUCUUGAAAGCCUUUAUUUCGGCGACUUUGGCUUUCUUGAGCUUUGAUAGCUCAUGCAGAUACCGGUUCUUCUUCUCGACCAGGGCUUUCUGUUUGUCCUCUCCAGCUGUUUGAACCUGCUUAACCAGCUGAUCCCAGUCGGUGCUGAUCUCGGCCAGCUUCGCCUUCAACUCCUUUAGCUCGGCCUCAUUGUCCGCAAUCGCCACCCUGGCAGCCUUCCUCAAGUCUAGCACACGUUGAUGUGCCACUUGAUUCUUUUGCAUGGCUUGCAAAACACACUGGAUGUUAGCAUAACCAAACAAACAGAUGCAAAGAAAGUAGAUGAAGACUUGUCACUUACUAGCACCAACGAUUUGGUAGCCGACCAGAUGACCUUCAGCUCGGUUAAUUGCUCGUGCCUUUCCAUGUCGGCAGAAAGGUAGAGGCUUUUAGCUAGGUUGAAGGCCAGUUAAUGAUCCUUCUCGGUACAGACUGAGUCUGAUGUGGUCACAACACGACCCUUGUAAGUUAAGGCCGGUGCCCACACCGGGAGAGUAGAAGGGCUAGCUCGGUCAGUUCGGCUUCCCCUCGUGAUGCCUCCGUAUCAAACAGCUCGGCACCCAGCUGCUCGAUUUCUUCUUCAUACACAAGACGUCGUUGCUCAGCGAACGCAGUUCAGGCCCUCUUGCUGGGCUGAAAUGAAGAAACCCUAGUCGUGGGCAAGGCAACAACUAUUUCAAUCGUUUAUUCGACCUAACGUGGUUCGGUUUGGGCAUCGGUAGGUGCUGUGGAAGUUUGUUUGGUGAUGAGGGCUCGGACUGCUCUUCUCUUGGCCAUCUUUUGCUCUUCGGUUAGGGGGAUGGGGUUGAUUUGAUGCAGAGAGGGAUUAGGCUCUGGAGAAGGCUCAAGGAGAAAGUCUGUAAACUUUGCUUUUUCGCUUGCCGCUAUAUCGGUAAGUCUGCUCAAAAUUCAGCAGCUCGGUCUAGUCCUGCUAUUAGUAUCUCAGCCCAGCGCAAAGAGCGUCUUGGUUGGCAUAUGCAUAGUUCUUUUUUAAACGGUUAAAAUCUACAAAAAUAACAACGGUUAGCACGAUAGUCAUCAAAACAGCUAAAGAAAAUAGAACCAAGCUACUCAUACCGACUGUUCUUUUAUUCCGGUUGAUGUCGUAGCCCGACACUAGAGCAUUUUGGUCUUCAUAAUUGCCCGACACUAGAGCAUUUUGGUCUUCAUAAUUGCUAGAGACACAAAGAAAAUCAUCAUCGUGUAAGUCAUUGUCUGGUGUUCUCUUGACGAUUUUCUCUUGGCCUCUCUUUACUUUCAGGUAAUAGCACCAACCGUCGUCACACUAGCCGAGAGAAUAUUGGUGGAAUAUCUUGGCCAGUCCUAAGUUGAACCGAGAUGACGGUUAAGCUCGGCUAUACCGUUUAUGAUCCUAUAGGUGUUGGUGGAGAGCUGUGUUAAACAAAAUCCUGUUUGCCUCAAGAAUUCGUAGAUAAAGGGUUGGACCGGGAAACGGAGUCCACCCUCUGCUAUUGAUAGCACGGUGAAGGGAUAUAAUCUAGUUUUGCCCCAGGGUAUGGUGUCUUGCUUGACCAGUGUAAAGUGCACAUCAUCUGGAAUAUUGUACUCAGCGAAAUUUGGCUAUUGCGCCAGGCGAGCUAACAAGGAAACGAUAUUUACCCAUGUGAGUUGGUCUUAAGGUGAUAAAUUAAAGAAGUUGCUCGGCUUCCUAGUGCGGCGUUGAUUUGGUUGCUCAGUCGAGCAGCGCCUCUAAGGAGCAAAGUGAAAGGUGUGCCUGGCCAACCUAGCAAAGUCUGCAAGGUUGAAAAUAAAUGGUGUUAUGCUCAAGUGUUGACCGAGCUAAAACGAUAGUGUAAACUAAUUAUAGAAUGGUUUGCUCGGUCAGAAAAGUGUGUGCAUAUUAUUCUUAGCUUGGUCAUUAAGUUGGAGGUUAUAAUCCGACCUCACACAUGAGCAAGAUAGUAGCCCGGUCUGAGACUAGAGCAAGGUUUUAGCUCGGCCAUGAAAACGGGCAAGGUUUUAGUCUGGUUUCAGCUAGGGGCAAGGUUUUAUCCCAGUUCGGAUUGCGAAUAGGGUUCUUUGUUUGGUGGGUUUCCCUAGAGGUUUUACAAAUAGGUUGCUAGCUCAAUUUCGGCGUGAUUUUGGAUCAAAACCACUGUUUUUGGCUGGUUUUUCUCAAGUUUGGUGUUCGUCCCAAAAGACGAAGUUUUAUAGGGCAUUUGAAGUCCAAAUUCACUUCUGGGCAUAAUUUUGAGCAGAUUUUAGUGAAUGCGAAUGCGUUAGUGCUGUCCGUGGCAUGGAUAAAUGAACAAAAACACAAAAAAGGCCUAAAACGUGAAGAAUGGUAUGGGAUUUAAGGAAAAUACUAGAAAGGUGUGGAAAACUUACGAAUUCAGGCAUGAAAAUGAGUUCCAACUUGAAUGAGAAGCUCUAGUCAUAGCAACAGAUCAAUUGUAGCGAGAAAUAUGCUUUAAUUUGGAGAUGGUGUGACAGAAUCCAAAGAGUUACAUCUCUGGUUUUAAGGUUUGAAAUGAAGAAGAUGAAUAGUGGAAUGCUAAAGGUUAUGCAUAUGUUAUAUAUGCAAUGGAGGCAAAAAGGCGCAAUGAUUCGAAUUUUGGGAGAAAGUGUGCGACGAUUGUGACAGAGAUACAAGCACAAUAGGGGCAAGCCACGUGUCCCAGAAAGGACAUCGUGCCAAAGUAGUUGAUGGACGUGCUGUACGAUUGACAAGACUUCUUGGAACCGAGCAGGCUGAGCGACUGAGCAACUUUUAUGGCUCGGCAGGAUUGAGUAUUUUAGCUUGGCUGAGGAGAGUAAUCCCAAUCAUGCGCGACACAUGGAAUUGAGGGGCAAUUAAGAGGGUAAUUUGUGUAAUCAAAUUGGGUCGAGCUAAUUGGAAAGAGGCUUGAAGGUUUGGGCUGCGUUGUGGGCUGAGCUACGUCUUGGAGAUGGUUUGGUACUGGGCAGAGCAAUGGUUAGGCCGGUCAAAGGUGCUUGACCGCGCCACCAGAUGUCUAUAUCCUUGGAUGUAGCCACCUUCAAAUGACGAUUAAUGCUUUGACCGAGCUACGAGAAAAGGCAGUCAAACGGAUCAAGAUGGAAGUAGCACAGGCCAUUGAACUGAGUAGCGACAGCAUGGGGGCGUGUCAUUCAAACAAUGCAUGGCGCUGGAUGUAACCCGGUUAAAUCAAGAAUGGAUGUAUCAAAGGUAGUCCGGUUGUACGACGACAGCCGAACUAAGAGUUUAGCCAUCUCACUUGGCUUGCAGUGAGGAGGGUGUUAAAGGAUAAACAUUAUCCUUUAGGAAUGUGAUUUUUAGGAGGACUUUGCUAAGGAGAGUCUGAGUCCUACUGGGAUUGAGCCAAGCAGAACCUACAAAAGCUCAUGUCAAACCCCUAUUAUCAGGUAUUGCAAUUCAUACUCUCAAAUUCACAGAACUUUUGUAUCCUUAGUCUACUUUUUGACUUAGGCAUCAGAGGGGUUUCCGGCAAACACUUGUCAGCUAGUUCACGUUUGUGUUUUUAAGUGAUAUGACGAUGUUUGGAAGAGAGUAAGCCUGAUUAACAGGAUUAUAUGAGUGAAGAUUAUUUUGUGCCCAUACAAUAUCCAAGAACAAUUUGAUGCAAUCUUGAUGCCAUGGAAGAGCAUUUUGUUCCAAUCUAGUGUGAUUCUAAGCACAUCUUGACGUCCAACUACUCUAUGAAUUAUAUAUACCCAAUUUUAUCAUAAUCAAAUUCAACUUGAUCCUAAGCGCAUUUUUUUUAUCAUAUAUAUUUAUAUAUAUAAUACAUAUCAUUUAAUUUUUUUAACAUUGUAAAAUUAAAAUCUAAAAUA